CUGGCGGCGGCCUAACCAUGCAAGUCGAGCGGUUGAGGGAAGCUUGCUUCCUGAUUCAGCGGCGGACGGGUGAGUAAUGCCUAGGAAUCUGCCUGGUAGUGGGGGACAACGUUUCGAAAGGAACGCUAAUACCGCAUACGUCCUACGGGAGAAAGCAGGGGACCUUCGGGCCUUGCGCUAUCAGAUGAGCCUAGGUCGGAUUAGCUAGUUGGUGAGGUAAUGGCUCACCAAGGCGACGAUCCGUAACUGGUCUGAGAGGAUGAUCAGUCACACUGGAACUGAGACACGGUCCAGACUCCUACGGGAGGCAGCAGUGGGGAAUAUUGGACAAUGGGCGAAAGCCUGAUCCAGCCAUGCCGCGUGUGUGAAGAAGGUCUUCGGAUUGUAAAGCACUUUAAGUUGGGAGGAAGGGCAGUCAGCGAAUACCUUGCUGUCUUGACGUUACCGACAGAAUAAGCACCGGCUAACUCUGUGCCAGCAGCCGCGGUAAU
rnacentral:rRNA from 1 species